GAGUUUGAUCAUGGCUCAGAUUGAACGCUGGCGGCAUGCCUUACUCAUGCAAGUCGAACGGCAGCAUGAUCUAGCUUGCUAGAUUGAUGGCGAGUGGCGAACGGGUGAGUAAUACAUCGGAACGUGCCCUGUAGUGGGGGAUAACUAGUCGAAAGAUUAGCUAAUACCGCAUACGACCUGAGGGUGAAAGUGGGGGACCGCAAGGCCUCAUGCUAUAGGAGCGGCCGAUGUCUGAUUAGCUAGUUGGUGGGGUAAAGGCCCACCAAGGCGACGAUCAGUAGCUGGUCUGAGAGGACGAUCAGCCACACUGGGACUGAGACACGGCCCAGACUCCUACGGGAGGCAGCAGUGGGGAAUUUUGGACAAUGGGCGAAAGCCUGAUCCAGCAAUGCCGCGUGUGUGAAG
rnacentral:rRNA from 1 species